rnacentral:rRNA from 1 species
CACAAGCGGUGGAUGAUGUGGUUAAUUCGAUGCAACGCGAAAACCUUACCUACCUUUGACAUGUACGGAAUUCGCCAGAGAUGGCUUAGUGCUCGAAAGAGAACCGUAACACAGGUGCUGCAUGGCUGUCGUCAGCUCGUGUCGUGAGAUGUUGGGUUAAGUCCCGCAACGAGCGCAACCCUUGUCAUUAGUUGCUACAUUUAGUUGGGCACUCUAAUGAGACUGCCGGUGACAAACCGGAGGAAGGUGGGGAUGACGUCAAGUCCUCAUGGCCCUUAUAGGUAGGGCUACACACGUCAUACAAUGGAUGGUACAAAGGGUCGCCAACCCGCGAGGGGGAGCCAAUCCCAUAAACCAUUCGUAGUCCGGAUCGCAGUCUGCAACUCGACUGCGUGAAGUCGGAAUCGCUAGUAAUCGUGGAUCAGAAUGUCACGGUGAAUACGUUCCCGGGUCUU